GCCAUUAUUCUGUAAUAACCUAGUUUUUUAAUCAAAGAAAAUUUAGUGGCAAACACCUUUGAUCAAAGGUAGGGUGUUCCGUGAUUUAAGCAAUAGUGGAUCAAUCAAGACCGGUGCUUUAUUUCUUACAUGAUUAUGCAUAAUUGAAAAGCUUAAUAGACGAACUCUCUCUCUCGGCCGAACCCAGAAAAACAGAGCAAUUGUUCUCCAAGCUUGUUCUCCCUCCACCGGCCACCAAACAGCGUCGGACCACCUCCAUUAACUUCGUAUUGGCCUUGCUCAGCUUUCAGAGGCAGCCUUGUGCGGAAAAACGGCCUCCAGCGACGGCGGAAAGCUCCGCCCGGUUUGAGCUCGUUUUGGUUUCAUGCUUGAUAUCUCAAGCUACAGGUCGCCAAUCAUCACCAAACUUCAUCCUCGAGCUCAUCUCAACCUCCUGAAGCUCCCAGAAGUAUCCUUUCAAGGCGUCACUGCGCGUGGUGGAGGCUGGAAGCCAGACCCGAUCUAAAUCGAAACCGAGCUAUCGAUCCAGAUAUCUCGAGCUACAUACCACCAUUUCUUGUGAUUCUUGAACUGAUGAGCUCGGCUUGAGUUUCUGAACAAAUAUCCAGAAGGGAUCGAAGCGAUUUGUUGAAAUUUUUACAUCGAUCGGAGCACAUACCGGAUUCUGGCAAAAUUCCGGCCACCGUGAGUAUUUUGGUGAUCGACUGAUUGAUUUGGCGGACGAUUCGUGAAAUCGUUGUUGAGCUGUUAAGAAGACGUAGCUGGAUUAGAGCGGGUAAUCCUGCAGGUGAGGAGAAUCAGGGCGGUGAUCGUGCGGGUUAGAGUAUUUGUUUUGGUUUUACAGCUUUUGUAAUUGUGAGGCCUCCACAACUUCAAGUCCGGCCCUGUGCGGAACCAUGACAGUAUGUUUGUGCUAGCUUUCUCUUUGAAGGUUAGAGUGUUCAAUAAGAUUUUAGCUUUUCUUGAAGCAAUUCAUGUUGCAAAGCAAAGAAACUGGAUUGACUUAUGGGUUGAGUCUGAUUCCAUGAUAGUGAUACGGUUUUUCAAGUCUCCCAAUCUUAUUCCUUGGAGGUUGCGAACAAGGUGGCUAAAUGGGUUCACAGACGCGCAAUAUGCGCUUACAGGUGACCCAUACUUUUCGAGAAGGAAAUGUUCCCGCCGACGUCUUGGCUAACUAUGGUGCGUCCAAUGCUGGAGCUCAUAUAUGGGACUCUCUCCCUCCAUUCCUUGUGCCUUCAUUGGACGUGACUUCUCUGGUAGAGUGGCUUAUAGGUUCAGAUGAGCUUUUUGCUUCUUGUUUCAUGUCUUGGUUUUUUGUUGCCAUUGUAUUGGUUGUAUGGAUCAGGAAAUUUCUAGAAUGUUUUUUUGCAUGGUUUGCAUAUAUGGUUUUUGUUCUGGGCAUGGCUUUGCUUACGUCCUCCAGCCCGUAUGUAAUUUUUUCUCCUUAUCAAUAAUACUUCAAGAGAGGACGUUGAGCUAGUCCUCUUCCUGCU